CUGGCCUUUCGAGGCAUGUGCACGCUCGAGCCCUUAAUCCACUUUNCACCUGUGCACUUAAUGUAGGUCGCCCUUAAAAAAGGUGACCUAUGUCUUAUCAUCAACCCAUCGUAUGUCUCAUAGAAUGUAAUCGAUAUCCUCGCCCUAAAAAAGCGUUGAUAAACUUAUACAACUUUCAACAACGGAUCUCUUGGCUCUCGCAUCGAUGAAGAACGCAGCGAAAUGCGAUAAGUAAUGUGAAUUGCAGAUUUUCAGUGAAUCAUCGAAUCUUUGAACGCACCUUGCGCUCCUUGGUAUUCCGAGGAGCAUGCCUGUUUGAGUGUCAUUAAAUUCUCAACUCCAAGGGUUUCAUGACCUUUCGGAGAUUGGACUUGGAGGUGCUGGCCGCAUAUUGGUCGGCUCCUCUCAAAUGCAUCAGCGGAAUUCAACCUUUGGCUUCCGGAUGUCAGUGUGAUAAUCAUGUUGCGCUGUCGUUUGAUCCCUCAAAGUCCGCUUAUAAUGGUCUUCGGACAAAAUCAUCAUCAAAUUUGACCUCAAAUCAGGUAGGACUACCCGCUGAACUUAAGCAUAUCAAUAAGCGGAGGAAAAGAAACUAACAAGGAUUCCCCUAGUAACUGCGAGUGAAGCGGGAAAAGCUCAAAUUUAAAAUCUGGCGGUCUUGCGGCCGUCCGAGUUGUAAUCUGGAGAAGCGUCUAUCCGCGUCGGACCGUGUACAAGUCUUCUGGAA
rnacentral:rRNA from 1 species